CGGCAAUGAUGACUAUCUUAGGACACCUUUGGAUUCAAACAUGAAACAAAUCUAUCUUCUGAGCCCC